AUACGAAGGGUGCAAGCGUUAAUCGGAAUUACUGGGCGUAAAGCGCGCGUAGGCGGUUUGUUAAGUCAGAUGUGAAAGCCCCAGGCUCAACCUGGGAACUGCAUUUGAAACUGGCAGGCUAGAGUGUGGUAGAGGGAAGUGGAAUUUCAGGUGUAGCGGUGAAAUGCGUAGAUAUCUGAAGGAACAUCAGUGGCGAAGGCGACUUCCUGGACCAACACUGACGCUGAGGUGCGAAAGCGUGGGGAGCGAACAGGAUUAGAAACCCUAGUAGUCC
rnacentral:rRNA from 1 species